UCAGAUGUGAUAUACCUUUGGAUUUCCCA
rnacentral:piRNA from 1 species